rnacentral:rRNA from 1 species
AGGAUGAACGCUGGCGGCGUGCUUAACACAUGCAAGUCGAACGAUGAAGCCGGAGCUUGCUCUGGUGGAUUAGUGGCGAACGGGUGAGUAACACGUGAGUAACCUGCCCUUGACUCUGGGAUAAGCACUGGAAACGGUGUCUAAUACCGGAUACGAGCUUUAGCCGCAUGGCUAGGAGCUGGAAAGAAUUUCGGUCAAGGAUGGACUCGCGGCCUAUCAGGUAGUUGGUGAGGUAACGGCCCACCAAGCCUACGACGGGUAGCCGGCCUGAGAGGGUGACCGGCCACACUGGGACUGAGACACGGCCCAGACUCCUACGGGAGGCAGCAGUGGGAAUAUUGCACAAUGGGCGCAAGCCUGAUGCAGCAACGCCGCGUGAGGGACGACGGCCUUCGGUUGUAAACCUCUUUAGUAGGAAGAAGCGAAGUGACGGUACCUGACAAGAAAAGCACCGGCUAACUACGUA